CACGAGUUUGAGCCCAACCUUGGCAACAUAGGGAGACCCUGACUCUACAGAAAAGCUUAAUAAUUAUCCAGGAUAGUAGCAAUACAGUAAUUUACAGACAUAUUUUUAAAUAUUUAAAUAUACUACAGGCAUGAGCCACC